UGCGCCUUCAUCCUUCCUCCAGGAUGCAGUGGCUGUCUGCGAAGACAGUCUGAGACAUCGCAGCCCCAAGUUUCAGCUCUGGGUGCUACGAUGGGCCACUGGCCGGGCUCAGGUGGUCACUUAACCCCGUGCGCAUUCCUCCUACAGAUUAGAAGGAGGCCCUGGGAAGUCCUGGACUCACACACCUCGGCCGUCCAAAGGAGCCCUUAUAGGGGCAGUGCGCUCCCCAGGCAGUGAGAGUGGCACCGCCAAACUCCUUCCCUGGGAACUACGCUCAGCAUCAGCAUCAGCAUCAUCUCAGCAUCAAGCCGCUGAACUUUGAACUGUGUCUGAGACAAAGUGCGGAUUCUGAGCAUCCACAACUCUGCCUGCGGACUUGUCUUCAGCCCAGCAAGGAGGACAAGCAGGAAGUGCUGGAAUGUUAAUCCCCUGGAAGCAGCUCAACCAAAAAUGCAAAGGGAAUCGAGGAGUCAACACUCUAGAUUGCUUAUGUCUCAAUUGGGAUGAUGCAGGAAUUCCUAGACAGUCUCCCAGAA